rnacentral:rRNA from 1 species
CAGUCGCCGCGGUAAUACAGAGGGUGCAAGCGUUAAUCGGAUUUACUGGGCGUAAAGGGCGCGUAGGUGGUUAUGUAAGUGAGAUGUGAAAUCCCCGGGCUCAACCUGGGAACUGCAUCUUAUACUGCGUAGCUGGAGUGCAGUAGAGGGUAGUGGAAUUUCCGGUGUAGCGGUGAGAUGCGUAGAUAUCGGAAGGAACACCAGUGGCGAAGGCGGCUACCUGGACUGACACUGACACUGAGGCGCGAAAGCGUGGGGAGCAAACAGGAUUAGAUACCCGAGUAGUCCCUGUCUCUUAUAC